AGUGAACGCUGGCGGUAGGCCUAACACAUGCAAGUCGAACGGCAGCACAGUAAGAGCUUGCUCUUACGGGUGGCGAGUGGCGGACGGGUGAGGAAUACAUCGGAAUCUACUUUUUCGGGGGGGAUAACGUAGGGAAACUUACGCUAAUACCGCAUAAGACCUACGGGUGAAAGCAGGGGAGCUUCGGACCUUGCGCGAAUGAAUGAGCCGAUGUCGGAUUAGCUAGUUGGCGGGGUAAAGGCCCACCAAGGCAACGAUCCGUAGCUGGUCUGAGAGGAUGAUCAGCCACACUGGAACUGAGCCACGGUCCAGACUCCUACGGGAGGCAGCAGUGGGGAAUAUUGGCCAAUGGGCGCAAGCCUGAUCCAGCCAUACCGCGUGGGUGAAGAAGGCCUUCGGGUUGUAAAGCCCUUUUGUUGGGAAAGAAAAGCAGCAGGUUAAUACCCCGCUGUUCUGACGGUACCCAACGAAUAAGCACCGGCUAACUUCGUG
rnacentral:rRNA from 1 species